CGGUGAAGUUUAUCAAAGUCAAGUUUACUUUGACCGUAGGGAGUCGCGCUCUUCAGCCCACCGCAGCCCACCGGCGGAGAAAACAAAACAAACGCCGUUUAAUGCCUUCUGUUCACCGAGCGCCGACGCCGUCUUCCUCAGGAGCGUGCAGAGCAGAGAUGGAAAUGAAUACCCGCCACCCGCAUUUUCCCUCUGGCGCUAAAUGUUGGAAGGCUACCCGUCACAUUGGCAGAAGGGUGUGAUGCUGCCGUACAGACCAACAGACGCACACGGCGUGAGCUGCUGGAUGUGGGGAAUGACGCCGCCGCCAGCUGUUGUGUACAAAUCGUGACAUGAACACUGAGGCGCCCGCUGAGAGAGCGAAGCCUGCUGUUGACACAGUUGCUGCUGGCUGUUUCACGCUCCAGGUGAACCAACCACAGCAAAGCAGAGGACCACGAUUCAGUUCAAAGCAAGGAGGGACGACAGGAGGAGGGUCUCUGGUGCUGCUCACUGUGAUGAGGAUCUUCAGUGAGGCGACGAUCAGGUCAACCCAACAAGUGAAAGGGUUUUGAGAUUUCCUCCGUGAACGUCAACGCCCGACACGCCGCUACAUAUCCAUCGUGGUUUGGGACAACGGAACGUGGAUCGGGUCUGAGGCGUGUGCGAGCGGUCUCCCUGCGUCACGCUGAACCCAGGCUGUCAAAACCGCAGAACUUCCACCGCUUCUCCAGGGUCGCACCAACGCCGCUCAGCUCCUGCCUGAACAUGCUGGGCAGACGGACCAUCAGACGCUCCAGCUCCCCCGCCGACACCUGAGGGGGAGACGGGUACUCCAGGUUGGCCCCGAACGGAUGGACGUGGAGGAAGGUCGAUAUGAUGCCUGCAGAGAAGAAGUGAAGAAAGGUCAGACGAGCACAGACUGAAGGGACAUCCAGAGGUCAAACACGUCUCACUGUCAGACGGCCAGCAACAGAAGCAGAGAAUGGCCUCGCCGUUACUGGCCAGCAGCUGCAGAGACAGACAAGAGGACAACUGAUCAGUCGCAGUGAAAACCCAGCGGAGAAAGAGAUCAGAGGCGGGUGUCGGUCUGUCUGUCUGCGAGGGCGAAGCAUCCAGAAAAACAACAACAACAAGGGCAGCGAACACAACAGAUCCUGCAGGGCUGUCUGUCAGCUCUCCUGCGGACUCAGAAAUGACAGCAGAGAAGAAAAGCAGUGCGCCGGGGAGGGAGGAGAGAACAGAAGAAGGUUUACCAACCUCACACUGCUUGCGCCAAAUGUCUAUGUUCUUGCGCUGUGCUUUUGAGAAAUGGUCCCACGCCUUUUGCCUGGUGGCGGCGCUGAAAACGGUGGUGAUCUGCUCGACUUUGGGGUGAACAGGGAGGAGGAGGAGGAGGAGGAGGAAGGGAGGAGGGUCAAGACAAAACAAGCCGUUUAUGUAGCGUUGUAGCACUGACUGAGGCUCGUACAGCGGGCACAGGAGAGACUGUGCACAUUCACGGACCACAGCCUGGUGGACGCAGCAGGACGGCCGCCUGCUGUGGACACUUCACUCCAAAAAGGAAAACGGGCAUCAUCUGCUCAGGUCAAACUCCAUGAGGGUUCGUUCAAGGGAUCAAGGUUUUUUGGCCCAGAUCAAAGACUUUUAAUAUCGAGUAUCUGAGCUACUGAGUCGAUUUACCUAAAUGUUGAAUAAAUAUCUGAAACCUUGCUGUACAGACCAGGAUAAUAGGGCCGAUUUUGGGUCCGAGUCACCCUCCCCACAGUCGUUCCAGAGCCGAGGCUGAACAGAUAUUCUUUAUGCAACUGUGAAGCUAAAGCAGCCAUGCUCGUCUGCAGACAUAAACUACAGGCAGUGCUCCUCUGAACUCCUGCAGAGACUCGCUGAGCAGAUGAUGACCGUAUGUGAAGCAAAGUCCCAAAUGUUUCAUUAAAACAUCACUUUUAUCUGCAGAAUAAAUAAAGCAAAUGUUAUUAUAGGAAAUCAGACUGAAUGCAAAAUAAUAGUUUGAUUCAGGGAGGAAAACGGAUUGGAACCAACAGAUUAUUAGUUAGCGUCCCCUAAAAACAGAUGAAUUGUGUUGUUAUAUUUCGGCCUGCGAUGUGUGUCACGGGAUGAGCAGGUCUCUCCUGGCCGGCGCUCUGUACUUACAUCACCCGCAGCUUCACUUCCUUCAGGACUGACAAAGGCAGCAUUUAUUCAGGAUGGAUGCUGAUCUUCAGACACAAGAUGAGUGUCGUCUCGUGUCACAUUACGUGUAAGGAAGUUGUAAUGUAAUGACUUUAAAGUGCUGUUUUUAAAAAUCAAACAUUCUGAAUUAAAAUGCUCCCUUUCAAAGAUUUGCUUUGACAUUUCGUUUUGCUGUCAAACUAAAACAUUUCUGACACUAGCAUCAUUUAGACUUCAACAUCUGUACUGAGAUCUGAUCACCCAGAAACAAAUGUAUGGCAAACCAUUUUAAAUUUCAUUCCUCAAAACUUACUAUUUAAAAGCUCCUAGUAUUUAUUUAUUAGUUACUAGUAUCUCCAUUUUACUAGAACCUACU